UCGAGUAGGUUUACCUUCUAAUGGGUUUCCUAUUUUACGACAUCGCAUUAGAAAAACACCUCAAAAAUUAUCAGUGUUCUCCGUCACUAUUAUAUUACGCCUAACCCUUCUGUUGAAUCAUGUCUGUGUAUUAAAAAAAACCGACCAAGUGCGAGUAGGACUCGCGCACGAAGAGUUCCGUACCUACUAUUAUUUACAAGCUUCUGAAAGCGGUUUCACCCGCAUCCCGUGGGAGCCUCAGCACGAACCCAGAUAAAAAGUUAUCAGCCUUCCUCGAUAUCAAACACUGAAAGUUUUUUUCAAAUCGGACUAGUACCUAGUUCCUGAGAUUAGCGCGUUCAAACAAACAAAUAUAAAUUAUAAUACAUUCCAUAUUCUGUGAAUAUUUCAAGCAUCUACAUACCUGUUGCCGGUAUCGAUAUCGAGCAAAAAAAAUCUUUGUUGUAUUGGAGAUUGGGGAGCCCCCCAAAAUAUUUAACUAUUUUAUUCUAGUUUUCAGUAUUUGUUGUUAUAGCGGCGACAGAAAUUUAAUUUAAUACAUCUUUAUUUCAAGUAACAUAAGACUCAAUGGGUUAGUAACAAUGUUUACUUAAAUCUAUGUUAGUAAAGCACAAAUUAUCCGUCCGUCUAUCACCAGGCUGUAUCUCAUGAACCGUGAUAGUUACAGAGUUUAAUUUCUCACAGAUGAUGCAUUUCUGUUGCCACUAUAAUAAAAUAAAUAUUUUGGGGGGCUACACAACAAACGUGUUUUGUUUGCUCAUUUUCUAAAUACCUCUAAUGGUGCGGAACCCUUCGUGCGCGAUUCCGACUCACACUUGGCCGGUUUUUUAAUAUCAGAUUAACAUGGGCCAAGAAAUUAUAACUACGUACAUAUGUAUCAAUGGAUUCAAUAUAAUUUCAAUUUCGUUUAACGUCUAAGAUCCGAUAAGGUAUGCUACGCGAUGAUGACCAUUAAUAAAGCACAGAGCACACUAUGAAAGUGGCCGUGUGCUGAUGUGUCAGAAAUGAUCAUGGUUAAUUUUAUUGUAAGCAGGUCGCGUGCUCCAAAGUCAGUUCACCGGAUCGUCUGGUCAUCUUCCAGCCCGCUGAUGGUAACAAAACUGUGCAAGUAACUAGCCCUCCGCGUAGGCUAGGUAGGUACUACAUACAUACAUGCGUUUACCUGCUGUUCAAUUCCAGUAAAAUACCUAGUCACAUGGUUUUUUCCAGCGGACAACCUAGAUACAGCAUUUUUAUGAAACAUCCGUGUGCAUGUUUCAGGUAAGUAGGUAUCUACUAUCUAUGACAACAUUCAAGAAAUAGGGAAGCAUAAAUAGUACCUACCAUACAAAAGAAGUUUAGUUGAAGUUGCAUCAUCGUUUGAUUGCCUUCAAUCGGUGAUCAUUGGCGGUACUUGUUGAUCGUGGAAGAGGGCAGAGCGGCGUCGCGGGGCGGGGCGCCGCUGCAACACGGAGCGCCUCGUUGUCCCCAAUUACGAGCUCUUAACAUACCAAUGAACGACAAUUACUUACAGAAUGAGUGGGCGACCUACGCCAGGACACGGACUUGGCGUAGGAAUACCGCGCCUCGAAUACCUUGGAAUUAUAGAAGUACCUAGCACCUCAGCAGAAUCUAUACAAUAAGAGUCAGUCGGUAUAUAUUUGUUUGCUUGAACGCACUAAUCUCAGGAACUACCUACUGGCCCGGUUUGAAAUAUUAAUCGCCAUGUACCUAGUUCCCACCCCACGAGAUGUGGCAAUCUGAUGAGGACGUGUUCAGUAAGGUUUGCGCGACGCCGCAGCACCGCGCGGCGGCUGCGGUGCGGCCGUCAGCUCUACUCUCAGAGGCAGUGCCAGCCAGGCACGCUAUACAACUGUGAACUGUCCGGGCAAGAGUUGACACUUACUAUUACUUA